CAGAGGGAGAAGCAGGCUCCUUGCAGGGAGCCAGAUGCGGGACUCGAUCCUGGGACUCCAGGAUCAUGCCCUGAUGGAAGAAAUCCUAUUGACGUCUUCUCAAGUUCUCUGGUUCCAGCCCCUGUCAUCUUUAAUACUGAGUCCAUUCAACAAGUUUUAUUUCUUUAUUCAUGAGAGACACAGAGAGGCAGAGACACAGGCAGAGGGAGAAGCAGGCUCCUCAAGGAGAGCCCACUACAGGACUCGAUCCAGGGACUCCAGGAUCACGCCCUGAGUCGAAGAGAGAUGCUCAACCGAUGAGCCACCCAGUUCUCAGUAACACUAGAGAGAGACUCGGCGGACACGUUUUAGUUCUCAUCUUAUGGCUCCCAGAAGCAUCCAGCGCCUUUGGCAUUGUUCCCUGUCUUGGAGAGAUCUACGUGCAGGUGUCAGACAGAGCCAGCCAUCCAGGGCUGAAGCUCAACCUCAAGGAUUCAACUAUACUAUACUUCAUGGAUGUGAUAUAUCUGGGACCAUGUGGAUCUGUUCUGGCAAAGAAAAUAUAUCCAGCAGAGCAGCUGCAAUAGAGACUGUUACCACCUUGAAUUUCCAAUAGUCUACUCACUUGCAAGGAGGUUUCCAGAUUUUAUGGAGGACAUUUUGACAAUACAGAUAUGUUGAAAAAAUUUUGAAUAAUAUUUUUCUUCCUAUGAUGUAAUAUAUUUUUUUAAAAAUUUCUUGGCCAGACAGGUACUGUAGGGCAAUUUUACAGGUUUUCACUUGAGUGUCCUCACUAUGCUAGGUCUUAUCCUAGGGGAAAGGAGUAUUGUAGUUUUGCUAACUAUCAACAUGAUCAUUUCCAUUAUACAAUUCGGGACCAAAGAAACUACCCUCGGUGAGUCCAUUCACUAAUGGAUCCACUGUGAGUCACAACUGGACCUAGACUUUAUUAUUCCUCUUGUAUAUGGGGAAUGGAAUAGAGUAACUGUGAAAAAUCCUCUAGACCAAGGGUUGGCAGACUUUUUCUUAAAAGGCCAGAUAGCUAAUAUCUUGGGAGUUGAGCUUACCUUCAACUACUCAUCAACUCUGCUGUUGUAGCACAAAAAUGGCCAUAGAUAAAAUGACUAUGGCGGUGAUCCCAUCGCAAGGGGUUUAGCUAGACUUUAACAGGAAGAAUGUGACCUUUCUGCAGAAUUCUAUUUUGCCUAAUCUGGAGAUUCACGAUUUUCAAGGCCUUGCCCUCAUAUCCCCAUACCAAGUUGCAGAAUUUUACUUUUCUGGAAUAAGGACACUGACAGGGCUUCACAGAUUUGCUGAUCUUGAGAAUUCAACCUUCACUAGAGCUCCGCUUACAUUAUAAUUUUAUAAUCGAGUUAUGGGUCUGAUACUCAGCUUUUUCAGUCUUUUGGCAACAGGAGAUGAGACUUUUUCUGUGCUGCUGGGAUGCCCUCUGACUUUCAUACCGAGCCUGCAUUUGAUAAUUAAUCACCUUCAGUCUUUCACAGCGGUUUUUCUAAAAUGUUGCGAGCCCCUAGCAAAAGCCAGAUUCCAGAUCCCUGCAAUUAUUACUUCAUAUCAUCUCUCAAAUGUCUGAGGUCUUGCACUCACCAGUGCAUUCAUUCCCUUCUGCCAAGGAUUUUAGCAGCUGCAGCACCUUUGCCUUCCAGGGGCUACCUACAUUCCACCUACAAGCCAUGUGGCCAAUGACAUAGCUAUAAAAUUCCCACUUAAAGUCUGUUUUCUCAGCCCACUUUUGGUACCAAAGCUUGUCUUUCUCAUAUUCCAAGAACACAGUGCAGAGAUAGGGAUUCUUGUGCCCCUGUGCAUGCUGUUAGGAACUAUACCCAGAAGGAAGUAGAGAGAAUGGGAUUAGGAAUAGUGGACUAGUAAUAGAGCAGGAGCCUCAGCAGUCCCUGUAGAGCUUCAGGCCUUGGGAUGACCCUUCAUAGAUGCUCUUAAUUGAGGCAAAGGACCAGCCCUUCAUACCCCUGCAUUGACUAGUUCAUGCAGGGAUGAAGGAAGAACAGAAAAAGGCAGCUCUGCUUGGCUGAGGACAAUUCCUGGAGAAGGCCUCAAUUUUGGGUUGUUGGCACACAGAGCUCUAGGCAUAUGGAGAGUAAGCAUCUCACUUUAAAAAGGGGGAAAUAAGUGAGCCAUGCCACAGCAUCAAAUACCACAUUGUUUGCUGUGCCUCUUGCUUCCUGCCAAAACCGAACACUGACACACAGAACAAACUUGUCGGGCCCUAAAGGAGAGCUGGGAACAUAAGCCGAUGUUUGAAAAUCAACACCCAAAAAUCUUGCCUCUUUGCUUCUUGCUCUGCACCCUUUCCUUCUUUCCUUGCUUAACCUAUUUUAGAAGUUCUUGUUCUUCAUAUAACCGGUUCCAAAUGUUUGCUCUCCUUAGUUUACAGUUCCUCUGUGCCCCCAAGACUAUGGCUUGCAGUGUCUUAUGACCUUGUGAUCCCAUUUUGUGCUUUUAAAAAAUGGCUUUGUUGUUGUUGUUGUUACCAGGCCUCUCAGUUGGCAAAUGCAAACACUAGUCAUGUCCCUUUCCUUAAAUUAGAUAGGAAUUUGACUAAUUCCAGAUUUUUGAAUACACUUUAGAGUAUUUGGACUUUGCUUAGAAAAAUAUUAGUUAAUGUAUAUAACAGAUAUUUGAGUACUUACUUUGCAUUAGACACUGUAUUGGUCCUCAGUUAUCUUUGUAGCUAUAGGAAUAAAGUAGCUAUAUUCAAUUUACAUUGAUUCUCAGAAGUAUAUCCCAUAACAGUUCUGGGCCUGCAUCCCAAAAGAGCCAGAAGACUAUGAGUAGAUAUAUUUUGCAACUCUCAGGGGCAUUUUCUUAAGAAUCAGUUAUCUGUUGAUAUAAUAUUAUAGGGUCCACAAUAAAACUCACGCAAAGCAUUGUUGCUCAUGAAUUUUGGGUCAACUGGGAAUUUCUGGUCUUAGCUGUUCUUAUGCACCUGAAUUUAGCCAUGAGUUAGGGAAGCAGCUCUGCUAGUCUUAGCAGUAUUAUGUCCUGUGCUCAGAGGUUGGCUGGCUGUAGGCUGGUCUAGAAUGGCAUUGGCUAGGAAAAUAAGGUUGCCUGCUACUAGGUCUCAUAUUCUCUAGCACGCUAGUCCAGACUUUUUCACAUGGCAUAAAAGGAAUUUAAAAAGAGUGAGCAGAAUUAUAUACAAGGCCUCUUGAGGCCUCAAUUUGAAAUGGACACAAUAUUGCAUCAGCUGUAUUCCUAGACAGAACAAGUCACAAAUCAGCAAAUUUUCAAAAGCUGAAUGAAUAAACUCCACCACUUAGUGGGAGGAAUUUUGAAAACAUUGCAAGUGAUAUGAAUACCAGAAGAGGAAUAAUUGUGGAUGUUUUUAUAAUUAACCUAUUGUAAUAUAGAGCUAAGUUUUCCACUGGGCUUUUUUCUCCCAAUAUAUUCCAUAUUCUAAAUAUUUGAAUUUUCCAAAUAAAACCUUUACUAAUAGUUAGGGUUUUAGAAUUUAUUUGCCACUUGUCUAAACCAAACAAAAUUAAAAUAUUCAAUCCCAUUAAAAUAUAUAAUUAAUCCUUCCAAAUCUGAAUAUCUGGCCAAUAAAUAGUAUAUUUAAAAACAAAACAAAACAAAAAAACUCUUUUUUCAUUUCCCUGGCUAAUUCUUUUUGAUUACUGACCACCAAAAUCAAUAUUGGCACAAUUGUAGUAUUUUCAGCUCUUUCAAAAUGGAGCUAGAAGUAGCAGAAAUAGAAUUAAGGGGAUGCAAGGUCAGCAUGUGCUGUGCACUGGUCAUACUGCUCUGUCUAGUGUCCUGAUUUAUACUUGUCACAUACUAAGGGCUCAACUCAGCUGUACUGUGAUGCCAACUUUAUUGUUGUUAUUAGCUUUAUAUGAAGUGAUUUGUGUGAUGUAGAAAAAAAUGAAUUGUGGGAAUUCAAAAUUUGGCAUAAUUCUGGUAUAAAAAUCGAUGUUUGAAAAUCAACACCAAUUGGAAUUCCAAUUGGAAUAUUGGAAACUAAAAUGAAGAAUGCAGCAAGAAAGAUUUGGUUUCCUCACUUCUAAGUACAUUAGAUAAAGUACUCUAAAUCAAAAGAUAUCCAGUGUGGGGCACCUGGGUGGCUCAGUGGUUGAGCGUCUGCCUUCAGCUCAGGUCGUGAUCCUAGGGUCCUGGGAUCGAGUCCCACAUCGGGUUCCCCAUGGGGAGCCUGCUUCUCCCUCUGCCUAUGUCUCUGCCUCUGUCUCUCAUGAAUAAAUAAAUAAAA